CCAAGUAGGUAUCAUGAAAACAACGGUACUCUGAAACCAAAUCACAUAACCAAUUAUUACGUAAGUACGAAUCUACCACUCAAUAGGCUAAUUAUAUCGAUGAUUCAAUUAAAUGUUUCGGAACAGUAACUGCAAAUCUGUAACAGAUGUUCCAAUGUCGUGGCCAAGGGAAAAAUCAUCCUUCAGUGAUCCGAUAAUUGGCGUGUAAUUGAAUAAACGCAUGCCCUCUUUCAAUUAUAGGGUGGGGUUUGUAAUAUAUUUUCAAUAUAAAUAGUUGACGAAAAAACAACAUUAAUCAGUAGUUACUUUUGAUUUCAUCUAAAGUCAUCAAUUCAUUUAAAACAACGAUACCUACCAGCCAUGAAAUUCUUCGUCGUCGCUUUGCUUCUCGUACUCAUCGUCGCUUCAGUUCUCGCUUCGGACAAAAAAUCCGAAAAAGAAAAAGUCAAACAGAAGAGCGAUAAAAAAGGAGAAAAAAUGAAAGGCGCUGAAUCGAUCUACCACCAGUUGCCAGUGCCAUUCGUCCAUUACCCGUAUCCAUUUGUGAACAGUUACUCGAACAGAUACUUCCCUUAUGGGUAUGCUGGUGGUGUAGGAUACGGUGGUAUUCCUUAUGGAGGUGCGGGAUAUGGCUGGGGUUACAAUAAUUAUUACUAACGCGUUAUGAUUAGAAAAUUAUCUAUUUCUGCGAAUAUUUAUUUGCAAAUACACGAUGGCUAUUUGAACAA